GACGAACGCUGGCGGCGUGCCUAAUACAUGCAAGUAGAACGCUGAAGAGAGGAGCUUGCUCUUCUUGGAUGAGUUGCGAACGGGUGAGUAACGCGUAGGUAACCUGCCUGGUAGCGGGGGAUAACUAUUGGAAACGAUAGCUAAUACCGCAUAAAAUUGAUUAUUGCAUGAUAAUCCAUUGAAAGGUGCAACUGCACCACUACCAGAUGGACCUGCGUUGUAUUAGCUAGUUGGUGGGGUAACGGCUCACCAAGGCGACGAUACAUAGCCGACCUGAGAGGGUGAUCGGCCACACUGGGACUGAGACACGGCCCAGACUCCUACGGGAGGCAGCAGUAGGGAAUCUUCGGCAAUGGACGGAAGUCUGACCGAGCAACGCCGCGUGAGUGAAGAAGGUUUUCGGAUCGUAAAGCUCUGUUGUAAGAGAAGAACGAGUGUGAGAGUGGAAAGUUCACACUGUGACGGUAUCUUACCAGAAAGGGACGGCUAACUACGUGCCAGCAGCCGCGGUAAUACGUAGGUCCCGAGCGUUGUCCGGAUUUAUUGGGCGUAAAGCGAGCGCAGGCGGUUAGAUAAGUCUGAAGUUAAAGGCUGUGGCUUAACCAUAGUACGCUUUGGAAACUGUUUAACUUGAGUGCAAGAGGGGAGAGUGGAAUUCCAUGUGUAGCGGUGAAAUGCGUAGAUAUAUGGAGGAACACCGGUGGCGAAAGCGGCUCUCUGGCUUGUAACUGACGCUGAGGCUCGAAAGCGUGGGGAGCAAACAGGAUAGAUACCCUGGUAGUCCAAGGGCGAAUUCCACAGUGUAUAUCAGGCUUAUCGAUACCGUCGACCUCGAGAUAGAGGGCCCGGUACCCAGCUUUUGUUCCCUUUAGUGAAGGGGUUAAUUA
rnacentral:rRNA from 1 species